GCAGGGAGCCCGACGUGGGACUCGAUCCCAGGACCCCAGAUCACGCCCUGCGCCCAAGGAGCUUCCAGGAUCACAAGGGAGCAAAGACAUAAACACAAAUAACCAGGCAAUAAAAGCAGCAUGGAUCUGUCAAACAUUUCCUCUGUGGUUUCUUCCACGGCUUUGAAGCUUAGAAAGCCCUUCCCCAUGUACAGAGCAGUUGAGGAAGGGAGUUCCCAGGUGAGGGAUACAAUGGGGCCUUGGCCCGGAGGCCAGAGGCGAUGAUGCCACAGUGGGUGCCUGGACUGGACUCGUAGUUUGGAGCCGGAUCAGGGAGCGUUUUUGAGGCUGAGCUGUAGCGUGACAGGGGAGCUACCAAUGCUUUCCAUGCUGAGAGAAGAUGUAGGGGACUGGGACCAAUAGGAACCUAUUCUGGAAAGCUCUUAUGGGAAUCCAAAGUUCAUAGCUCAAUGACACGUGAGAACUCUCUCCUCUUUCUUGUGAGUCUGCAGCCAUUUGGGGCUUUGAGGUGAUGUUUCUGCUCUGAUCCUGGAAGGAUCUCCCAGGGCCGCAGGUUUCCCUCUUAUUUCACAGCGGAGGAAUUCCUGCUGUUGGCCCACCACUUUGUGACACCUUCGCUCUCCCCCACCCGGGGCCCAUCCUCCCGGACCGUGGACCUUGGGAGUAGGCCUUCACUUCUCUGCCUUUAAUGUAAAAGGUUGUUGCAACAACCGAUUCUGCUAGAGAAACCACACUGGAGCAAUUUGUAAAAUCUCUGGGAAGGAGUCCUUCUGGGUGGCCGGAUUUUUGCUCCCUAACUCUGCCGAAGGCCUCCUUGGAAAUACAUCCCUGGGAAUGACAUUCCCGAAUCAAAAGACCUUAAGCUGCUUCCAGCUCUUGCUCCAGUGUCACCCAUUGCUUCCAGAAGGAUGGUCCCCGUUUUCAGUGCUGGUAGACUGAGUCCACUUCAGCUUUAUCUACAAAACGUUGCACACAGAACGUCAAAUGAUCCUCCGUCAUCAAGAAAAUGGCAAGUGAUGGAGCUCGGUCACUGUUCUGGGCUGUAAUACGGUGGUGCCCGGAGGGGCGUCUGUAUCAUAAAGAACCGGUGACUCUUCUCUAAGAGGCGUGGGAUAAUAGACCCUCCGGUUAAUAGAUCCAAACUGGUUUAGAAGUUGCAUUUUCUUCCACCUCUAGGAAGGGAAGCAGAGUGAGGUGGGAAGAGCAAGUCGCUUUAUGUGCCUCAGUAUAUCCACCUGUAAAAUGGGGAUCGUAACACCAAACUCCCAGGAUGGUUGUGAAGAUUCCAAGGAUAACAGACGUAGCAUUCCCAGCACCUCCGUAGCAAGCACCCAACAAACGUUGCUUCUCUGGGCCUCUCCCUCUCCCACGGCCUCUUCUUAAUUUAGCAAGCGUCACACAUUUUACGCUCAGGCUGAAAUAUGGCCAGUGAUAUGUCCUUGGUUUCUCCUGGAGAGAGAGAAAAAAAAGGAUAAUAUUCUUUGCCUAAUUAUAAUAGUGAUACAUGGUCACCAAAUAAAAAUUUGGAAAGUGUGGGAAAGUACAAAGAAGGAAAUAAACAUCGCCCACAGUUUCACGCCCCAGAUCUGUCCCUGUGAACGUCUGGGUGUGUCUCCUCGGGGGUGUUGGGCCACUUCUUAUUCUCAGAAUUCUAAGGUGUGGCCCCGGGACCGUGUGACACCUCUGUCGAGGCACCGUCGACAUGGAGGAUUGCAGGGGUGGGGGGCAUGGGAGACAUGGGGUCCCAGCUCUGAGGGGGUCCUGGAGGCGGCCAAGGGGAGGCCCAUGGGCCUCAAGGCUCGGUCCUCACCACCCACAGAGAGCAAGACUGGGAAGCCUUGGACGACAGGCCUGGGCUUUAUUCUCCCCCUUCCCCUGCAAGGCCCUGGACAAACUCGUCCAGACUUGGGGCUCCUCCUGUCUCUGGGCCUCAGUUCCCUUAUCUAUCAAAGGAGCAGAAGGGCCAUGAAUUUCGGGACUAACAUUGUGUGGCGCCAGAGGCACGUGUGAAGAAAGGGCUGCGAUGCUCGCAGGGCCUUACCCAGAGGACAUCCUCUUUGUGUCAUUUAUUAUUUAUUUAAAGAUUUUAUUAUUUAUUUGAGAGAGAGAGAGAGAGGGAGACACAGAACGAGCAGGGAGGAGAGGCGGAAGGAGAGGGAGAAGCAGACUCCCCACUGAGCAGAGAGCCUCCCCAAAGGAGGCCUCGAUCCCAGGACCCUGAGAUCAUGACCCGAGCCGGUGGCAGAUGCUUAACCCACUGAGCCACCCAGGCGUCCCACAUCCUCUUUAUUUCCCCGGUGUCCUCACAGCCCUCGCCUUAGAGGAGGAUGGACCUCCUACCAGCCUCGGACCGCCUUAGUACUGGGCCAACUCGAUCAGCCUCCUCAGCUGCUCUUGGAGUCCUCGAGUCGGGCAUGAAGCCCUCUGGGAGCUGUGUGAGUGUUAGAAACUGCACACGAAGAGGCCUCUGAGGCGAUACAGCGGACUUGCGGCCCCGCUGGUGGACAGCGAUUGCUCAGGUUCAAAUCCCAGCUCCACCACCACCGGCUGCGUGAGCUCAGCCAAGUUACUUAACUGCUCUGUGCCUCCCUCACCUCUAAGUUGGGAAAGAUGAUGGGAAUCAGGCGUGGAUUAAAUGGGUUCAUCGGACGUGAGAACCUUAGAACAGCGCUUGACACGCAGCAGGUGCCGGGUGAGCGGUAGGCAGUGUUGCUCUGCUGCCGAAACGCAGGGAGCCCUCGGGAGCGUGCUCUUGAGAACUGUGAACAGAUUCCAAAAGUGCAGAUGCGUUUGACGUGAAAGUGAAAGUUUCUCUUCCUCCACCUACUCUCACUCUCCAGAAGUAACCACUGUGAGUUCAGUGGGCCACCUUCCAGAUCUUUCUCUAGACAUACACAAUGAUCAUACGUAUCUAGAGUUUUCUUUUAAAAACAACAAAUGGUGCAUGUUGCCCUGCAACUUGCUUUCUCACUUGCCCUCUUCUUGUGGACAACUACGCCGUCUCCAGUCUCUUCGACUAUACAGAACGCAGCAAGGCACAUCCUUGUCUAGAGUUUCUUACUCCAAGAGGACUAUUCUGAGGGGGAGAGGGUGUGGGGAGAGAGCUGUGCGUCUGCGCCCCUCUGGGAGGACCGAGUCAGAGGCGGUGAUGGUCCAUGCUUCUCGGCACUGGGUUCUGAGUGGCUGUAACGUGUUGCCCUGGGAGGACGCUCCCGACGCUCCUGAAGCAGGCAAGGGCCUGCCCUGGGGGAGGGGGGGAUAUCUCCUGGCAAAGAAGACACCUCUGCACGCUGCGGGGAGGACACAGAGAACUCAGCUGACCUUGGGGCCCCUUUCUCACCACUUCCUUUCAAAAAUUCUGAGUGAAAUAAAAAUAUUUCAUAAUCUU